UACAGAGGGUGCGAGCGUUAAUCGGAUUUACUGGGCGUAAAGCGUGCGUAGGCGGCUUUUUAAGUCGGAUGUGAAAUCCCUGAGCUUAACUUAGGAAUUGCAUUCGAUACUGGAAAGCUAGAGUAUGGGAGAGGAUGGUAGAAUUCCAGGUGUAGCGGUGAAAUGCGUGGAGAUCUGGAGGAAUACCGAUGGCGAAGGCAGCCAUCUGGCCUAAUACUGCCGCUGAGGUACGAAAGCAUGGGGAGCAAAAAGU
rnacentral:rRNA from 1 species